GACGAACGCUGGCGGCGUGCCUAAUACAUGCAAGUUGAGCGAUGAAGAUUGGUGCUUGCACCAAUUUGAAGAGCAGCGAACGGGUGAGUAACGCGUGGGGAAUCUGCCUUUGAGCGGGGGACAACAUUUGGAAACGAAUGCUAAUACCGCAUAACAACUUUAAACAUAAGUUUUAAGUUUGAAAGAUGCAAUUGCAUCACUCAAAGAUGAUCCCGCGUUGUAUUAGCUAGUUGGUGAGGUAAAGGCUCACCAAGGCGAUGAUACAUAGCCGACCUGAGAGGGUGAUCGGCCACAUUGGGACUGAGACACGGCCCAAACUCCUACGGGAGACAGCAGUAGGGAAUCUUCGGCAAUAGACGAAAGUCUGACCGAGCAACGCCGCGUGAGUGAAGAAGGGUUUCGGAUCGUAAAACUCUGUUGGUAGAGAAGAACGUUGGUGAGAGUGGAAAGCUCAUCAAGUGACGGUAACUACCCAGAAAGGGACGGCUAACUACGUG
rnacentral:rRNA from 1 species